GAAGAGGAGGAGGAGGAGGAGAGCUCCCACCUGCCCAGAAGAGAAGGCUCAUUUGUUUGUGUUGAUGGAGAAUUCUCUCUGCAUUGGGCUGCAUGCAUGCAGAGCAGAGUGACGAGCAGGGAGAGGACAAGGAGUGGAGAGGGCCGACGCUCUGCAGCCAGAGGAGUACGCUCGGCUGGACGGACAGACUAGAGGUGAUCGCCCAGGGAGGGACUGGAGAGGACCGCAAGUUCACACCCUGAUUGAGGUUAUGACAAUCGAAGCCAAACCACUCUCGCUACAGUGUCUUCAUUGAAUAUUUGAAUUGGAUCUAAGUGAUCCUAAUUCUCUCCCAUUAUCUACUUGCUGAUAUGGCAGCAUUACAAGGCCCUGUUGACAUAUAGCCUAGCACUCAUUAUUGCUUGAUUAAGGACUACUUUACCAGGCAGGCUGCUGAACUGUACACACACACACAUACACAACCCAUCUAUUAUUCACUAUGUCAUUAAUAUUUAACUGUGCUUUCAUAUGGGCUGAAUCAUAACCUUUUCUAUGGGAACAUACAGUACAGUGUUACCUCUGCUGCUCAGUAGGAGAGGCAUGGGACCAACAGUAAACUAACAGAGCUGGAGGAGGACUCUAAUAAACUUGCUGUGUGUGUGUGUGUGUGUGUGUGUGUGUGUGUGUGUGGGCAUGCCUAUGAGCCCAUGUCUGUGUCUAUUCAUUUGGUAUAUUCACACAUUUGUUAUGUUCAUGUAUUUGUUCCUAUUGUAUUCUCUUGAAGGAGAGAGGACUGUGAACUCACCAGAAGGGUUUAUUUGACCAGGAGAGGGCAGCGGUGGAGUCAAAGAGCUUUAAUUAGUGGUGUUACAGUCACUGAGGCAUAGCAGAGACAGCAAGAGUGUUUGUUGUUUUUUCAUUUGCUUUGGCAAUGUUUCCCAUGCCAAUAAAGUUUCCCGGAGAGAGAGGGAAAGAGUGUGGCUGUUACAGUGAACGUAUUAGCGCCAUACUGGCGGUCACGAGUCAUAAUUGCAGUCAAAUUCCACGUGACCGUUUAUUCACUGUAAUUAGGCUUCUUCAAGCUCUGAUGCUGCUGAUGGUCAUUAGUAGGCUACCAAACUUGCUAUCUGACUCAUACUCAGCACUCUAUUGUCCCUCUAAUCACUCUGACUACAAAUGUUUUCAAAAAUCAAAUCAAGCACUUCAUGAGAGCCCAUGAGGAGAUGUUGCGCAAAAUUUCUGUAGCCUAUGCAAUUGUGUGAGUAAAUAGUGAUGCCCUCUAUUAAAAAGAGGAGGAUACCAUCCUCUUUCUAUA